rnacentral:rRNA from 1 species
UACUGUUACCAUACCACCUUGGGAGAUCUGAGUCUGAUCUCGAAGCUGAGCAGAGUUGGGCCUGGUUAGUACUUGGAUUAAAGAUCAUUGGGAAUGCCAGAUCCACUGUGG